rnacentral:tmRNA from 1 species
GGGGACGUUAUGGAUUUGACGGGCGGAUUGGUAUUUUCUUGCUGCGUGUCCCGGUGCUGUUCCGAGAAACCAACAAGCAAAUAAAAUAAACGCUAAUAACGUUAUAAAAGCUGAUUUUUCAAGAGCAAAAGCUCUUGCUGCCUAAGGCAGUUCAGCCGUUAUAUUAGACCAGCUUGCCGUUUAAUAUAACGCCGUAUGCAAGCUGCAAUCCUAAAACGGAAGUAUUAGGACUAAGAUAAACUUCCAAACCGUGUAUCGGGUAAAAUACUUUGACUAAAAAAAGGAGAGGAAACGAGCCGUAUUUAGUCGAGAAAAACAGACCUACACAUGUAGACGCAGGUUGGUAUCCCGUUCCGGACGAGAGUUCGAAUCUCUCCGUCUCCA